rnacentral:rRNA from 1 species
GGGUUGUGAGGUUAAGCGACUAAGCGUACACGGUGGAUGCCCUGGCAGUCAGAGGCGAUGAAGGACGUGCUAAUCUGCGAUAAGCGUCGGUAAGGUGAUAUGAACCGUUAUAACCGGCGAUUUCCGAAUGGGGAAACCCAGUGUGUUUCGACACACUAUCAUUAACUGAAUCCAUAGGUUAAUGAGGCGAACCGGGGGAACUGAAACAUCUAAGUACCCCGAGGAAAAGAAAUCAACCGAGAUUCCCCCAGUAGCGGCGAGCGAACGGGGAGCAGCCCAGAGCCUGAAUCAGUGUGUGUGUUAGUGGAAGCGUCUGGAAAGGCGCGCGAUACAGGGUGACAGCCCCGUACACAAAAAUGCACAUGCUGUGAGCUCGAUGAGUAGGGCGGGACACGUGGUAUCCUGUCUGAAUAUGGGGGGACCAUCCUCCAAGGCUAAAUACUCCUGACUGACCGAUAGUGAACCAGUACCGUGAGGGAAAGGCGAAAAGAACCCCGGCGAGGGGAGUGAAAAAGAACCUGAAACCGUGUACGUACAAGCAGUGGGAGCACGCUUCGGCGUGUGACUGCGUACCUUUUGUAUAAUGGGUCAGCGACUUAUAUUCUGUAGCAAGGUUAACCGAAUAGGGGAGCCGAAGGGAAACCGAGUCUUAACUGGGCGUUAAGUUGCAGGGUAUAGACCCG